rnacentral:rRNA from 1 species
UCGUGAAUUAAUUUGUCUGGUUUAUUCCGAUAACGAACGAGACCUUUAUAUUCAUUAGUAAGUUAAUAUUGAUAUUAGCUUUUAUGAAUAGACUACGUAUUUUCAAUUACGGGGAAGCAAUUGGUAAUAACA